GCUCCUAUCUAGAUUUAUUCUUUACAUCUAAUGCAUAUUGCAGAAAACAGCAAAAACUCUGUGGCUUAACUCAACAAAAAUCUGUUGUCUGUGCCGCAAGCCCCACUGUUUCGGGAGGUGGUUUGUUCCACAUAACCACUCCACACUAUUUAUUAUGCCUCUAUCUGAACAUAAUGCUUUAGGUUUUUUGAGAGGAGGAGAAAGCAAUGGAAAAUUGGCCACUGGCAGUUAAAUGCUCCGCACCUUUAUGGAAGUUACACUGGCUCACAUUUCCUAGGCCAAAGGUAGUCUUGUAUCUGAUUUAACAUCAAAGUUGGCAGGGAAAUACAAUCCUUCCUUGUGUCUGAAAGGGGAGGGGGCCCCAUACUGGUAAGCAGACUGCCACGCAGAGUGUUCCAACACGUACAUGUGCCAUAUUUGUCCUACCGAUUCCCCUGCCCUUGAAAGAGCUGAUGAUAUAGUUCACAGUCUGUGCCAAACCUUAGGGCAGACGUGAUACGAGAGGCCACUUGGGUCUGAAAUGCCAGAAUUGAAACCAGGAUCCAUAACCCAGGAUGGGAAAGCUGGAGUGUUCCCAGAAGUAACAGAGUUCUCAGCUAUAGCCACACAUUCAGGAAGCUGUGCAGGUACAGUGUAUUACCAAGAGGUAAUUUCACCAUCAGGUGACCAUGAACUCAACCAGAGUAGAGGUGGUCCCAAACAGACUUGUCUAUUGAGUCUCAUUUCAGUCCCUAGGGUCUUCACAGAAGGAUGUCAGGGGUCCCUUCCUUCCCUGAUCUCUCCCAGCUUCUUUUUCUUUCCUCCCUAAAUGAUCUCCUUACUUUUUGUACACCUCUACUUCUCUUUCCCUAACAGUGUCCCACUCCAUCCUGGAGACAAGUCCUGAACAUUUCCCCCAAGACAGUCUUGAAGUGUCAUGAGCUGUUCUUACGACACAUAAGCCCAUUGUAGAAGGACUUAGAUAUUUUUGAUUCUUUAUAAAAUGGAGCACCUUCACCCUUCCUCUUGCUGCAUUUCCCCACUCAUGAGAAGGCACAGAGGGCAUUGUUAAGCGGCACCUGAAAACGGAACUUUCCAGGCUCUUGGAUCCAAAUCAGAACACAGGUGUUGAGUAUGGAAGAGUCACUUCAAAAAUCGGAUUCCAUGGAUAUGUGAUCAGUAGUUAAAGGGUUAAAGUCGCAUUCGAAAGAAAGGUGACCCUCCUUCUCCUUGCUAAUGUAAUUGGCCAGAGUCCAAGCCAUUGGCCAAGCCAUACAUGAGUGGGGCCACCUGAUUUGAAAAAGGGACCUUAUACACAAACAAAUUGGAUGACCUAGAAGAAAUGUACAAAGACCUAAAAACACACAACCUAUCCAAAUGGAAUCAAGAAGAAAUAGAAAGCCGGAACAAACCAGUAACAAAUAAGGUGAUUGAAUCAGUAAUCAGAAACUUCUCGACAAAGAAAAGCCCGGUGCCAUAUGGAUUCACAGUCCCUGGAAACCACCAUUCAACUUUCUUGUCUCCAUGAAUUUGCUACUCUAGAUACCUCAUCUGUCAUGAAUAUAUGCUGAUCAGAAUUACUCAGAAUCUUCUGUCAUGGUUCCAGAAACGUGGGGAAAAACAAAAGACAACACAGAGAUAAAAAUUACAGGUUACCAAGAAUUAUUUUUGGAGUUUUUUCAAAGCCAAGACAGACAACACAGCCAGAAGAUGAGAACAGGCAGCUCGUGAUAACAUUUCUCUUCAGUGGAUCAGGAAAGAGUCACAGAAGGCGAUAUGAUUGUCUACGUGAAAAAUCCCAAAGAGUCAGCAUAUAUUCUGAAACUAAUAAGCAACUACAGCAAGGUCACAGGAUAAAAUGCUAACACACAAAAGUCAAUUGCUUUCCUAUAUAACAGCAAUGAACAACUGGAGUUUGAAACUAGAAUUAUAAUACUAUUUACAAUAGCACUGCAAAAAACCAAGGAAAAUAUUAGGUAUGAGUCUAAGAAAAUGUACAAGAAGUACAUGUGGAAACAACAAAACUGAUGAAAGAAAUCAAGGAUCUAAAUAAAUGAAGAGGUGUUCCAUGUUCA